rnacentral:misc_RNA from 1 species
GGAAAAAAGAAGCGGUGCACUUCUCUGUCUUGAGUGUUCUCACGCCUCCCCUCCCGCCGCCGUGCUCCGUCACGGUGUCUCUCUCUCCAUCUCUCCUUACCCACCCUCCUCCUCGCAGUCUCAUGUGCGAUUCGUUUUGUCUCUCGCCCCUUCUCCGGAUCGAGGACCGAAAACGGUACUAGAAAGGAAAACAGAGCCGUCGUCACACGCGCUCUUACUCUCAUGGCGGCCAAGCCGACCACAUGCGACGCAGGCGAGGAGACAUCGCUUAUGCGCCAGCUGGAGCUGCUGCUGGUGCCACUGCACCACCGCUUCCGCUAUCCGCUUCCGGUGCCGGCUCACUUCACGGCGGGUGAGGGGGACGGCGCCUCGAUUGCUGCUGCUCUCACGCGUGCACCAGGGUCGCCUGCGCUUGCUGGCGCCGGGGCGACAGGUUCGUCCUAUGCCGAUCCGGCAGGCACCGCGGCGUCGCACUUCGCUGGCGACUCGGCACAGCUCAGCGAGCAACAGCAGGAUGAGCGACUUCAUCGUUCUGCUCUGCGAGUGGUGGAGGAGCAUGUGCCCGACUUGCUGACGUGGCAGGCGCGGGUGCAGCGCGGCGCCACACAGGCGGGAAAUUGCUAUCAGGUGCUGGAGCGGGUGCGGAGCAGCGUGUCUGCGAUGCAGCGCGUGACGGAGUCGGUGCAGAAGCAGAGCGAUCAUCUCAGCCACAACGCCUCUGCCAUGAUGGUGCGCAAGGCGAAGCUGGAGCUUGUCCGCGAUGCCUUGGAGCAGAACUUGGCGCACUUCACGCACAUCGACGACCUAUGCAGGGAGGCAGGAAACCCCUUUCUGAAAGCCGGCUCGGCGCGCUUCUCUACACUGCUGCAGGACAUCGCCAAGGAGAUGGAGUUCCUCUGCACCAACACGCAGUACAAAUCUGCCAAGCCGUACGCUAUGAAGCUCGCCGUGGCACAGCAGACGGUCAGCGCGACGUUGAAGGACGCGGUGCGGACGUCGUUUCGCACCAUGGAGGCCGAAACGCUGGCCUCGCCCGCCUUUCGAGCUGCCACGCAGGUGCUGCAGGAGGACAGCGCGAUCCCCAGCGACAGCCCUCUCACCAGAGCCUCCACGUCGCCGUCGACGGUUUCGAUGCCCGCGACAGCAGCGCCGCCGCUGCAGCUGCGCCCGCAUGACGUGGCUGGUUCUUUCGAAGAGUUCCUCGCUGCCGUGAACGACGUAUUUGUGAAGUCUGGAGACAGCUUCACGUCACUGCGGCGCAUGGCCGAGCUGCGGCAGGGCGGCUUCGGCUACUCCGGGGCGGAGGCUUUUGGGGAGGAGAUGCUGACCGCUGGCGGCCGACUGGAGGCGGAUCCUGGGAUGCGGGAGGUGAUGAACUCCUACUGCGAAGCGCGCGUUGGCGUGGUGGUGCCGCUGCUGCGCUACUGGCUCACACUAUGGUAUUACCUUGACGCGCAGCGGAACUCGCAGGCCGACGCGAAAAUUGUCGGCAGCGUCGCGGCUGCGGCUGCCGCUGUGGGGGCGAAAUCGCCGGCUGACACCGGCGCUGCUCGGCAUCAGCUCUCCGGCGUCGCGGAGGCGCACACACUUCCGCAGUUGGCCGAGCACAUCUGUGGACUGCUUCAGCGCUCCCUGGCUGCGGAGUCGGAUGUGCUUGCGCGGCUGUGGCUGAGGGACGACAUCGUCUCCCACCUUCUCCCGAGGCUUGUGCCCAGCAUUGCCGAGGAGGUGUACUACAUGUUUCGCUCUCGGCUGCUGUGCAUCGACGACGUCGGCGAGCUGUCCCGCACAGUCGAGAGCAUUCAGCGUGUGAGCCUGCUCCACAACACUGGCGUCCAGGACUCGCAAGUCGUGUCGGACCUGUGGGUGCGUAUGAUCCAGGACACUCAGGAGCGUCUCGUCUUCCGCACGAGCGUGUACCUGCGACAAACGGUGUCGCGCUGCACCCCGACGCGCGAGAUCGCCAGCGUCUACCUCCGCUGUGGCACCGAUGCGUACACCGCCGAGCCAGCAGCGUCCACCGGAGACGCCGCCCAGACGCGAAUGUUUUACAUUCCUGGUGUCGUGCAUGCGCUCAAGCUGCUCGACUGGCUGUACCCGACCCUAGAGUUCUCUGUCUUCUCGGUGUUUGCGGAGGAGGCGGUGCACCACAGCCUCGACCUCAUCCGGCAGCUGAUGAGGCUGAUGCGGCAGAUGGACUCGAGCGACACGCUGCGAGACUCAAAGGCGUUCCUGUGUCAGCUGGCCCACCUCCAGCACCUGCAGGUGACGCUGUCCCACGUCGAUGCGAACAUCACCGUGGUGGAGAAACACAUCAGCUUAGCGGCGCUGCGCAACCGGAGGCUGGAGCUGGAGCAGUCCUCGCGGGAGUCGAAGAAGGAGGUUGAGAUGGACCUGCUCAAGUGCAGCGAGCACCUCACGACGGCCAUGUUUGCGUUGGUGACGCAGCCCGUCUCCGGUGCGGCGAAGAAGAGCGAGGCAGAGCGCAUUCAGCUCGUUUCGGAGAUGAAAGGGCGUGCUGCGGGGAUGGAGCGCAUGAUUGCCUUCUACGUGGAGCAUGAGGAGACGCAGCAAGACUUGAUGCAUUUGUUGCGUGAACGCGUUGCAGAACUCGCGGCCGAGAUGAGUGUGGAUGUGCACGCGGUUCCGGCGGCUCCAGUAAAGACGGCAAUGUCGGAAGCGGAAUCUUCCACGCAAAACGCUCUACAACGCUCUGCGACGGAGGUGGGUGUAGCACCUCCGCCACCAGCGUCAGCGCCGCAGCCCGCAAAUACGGCCGCAGGUGACAGUGCCGAUUCGUACCACGCCCCUCCGCAGUCUUUCGCAGCACCAGCAGGGGCAGCGCAGCCCGCGGCGAGCGCACCGGUAGCAUCUGCCGGCGCUACCGAUCAAUUCGCUGCGUUGCCAACCCACGCGCCGAGGGCCCCUCCAGGGUUUCCGAGCCCUCCCACGGAGCGCGUGACGUACGCGUCGGCCCCGCCUGCCACGACCGUCUGUCAUCAGUCGCCGUUGCAGGACUACGCAGCACCGACAGCUCGAGCACGUCCCAGCACUCAAGACGGCACGGACAUUAUCUGAACGAGCGCGUCCGCGCCCGCAGCUGUGAAAGCUAGGGGAAGGAGAAGGGGAAGGGAGUUACGGUGGCAUUCAAACGGUCUUUGCGACCAUUACGUUCUCCAUGUGCCUGCGUGCGCGCGUGCGUGUGCGGUGCGCCGGUGAGCUUUGUGUGAGCCGCAGCCAUCUUCUCAGGUGCUUUAUGGUCAUGUCUGUCUGCCGCUGUUGGCGGUUUCGCGUAUUCAUGUUACCCUCCCUCUACCCAUGCGUGCGCGGAGGUCGCUUCUGCAGCCCAGCC